GCCUAAUCUGUGGACUAGGCAGAGAAGGGGUCUCCCAAGAGAGGAAGCCAGGCCUGGAAGCCUGCAUCCUUCAUGGAGCCCCCAAGGCGGGAGGAUGGCUGGGGAGGGGACACAGGAACAAGGGUGGGGUACAAGUGAGCCUCUCUAGGUGACAGCCCCUGGGAUAAGGCAGCCAAACUGAUCCUUUGCUGGCGUACCCCACCCAACUGCAGGGGCACCACUGAGUGUGGAGGCCAAGGGCCAGUGCAGGGCCACACCAUUGCCUGGCUGCUGGCUCCAUGAGUAGGGCAGGGGAGCCCUGUGUCUGCUACUAUAAAUAGCUGUGUGUGUUGGACAGGUCCUUCUCUGCUCUGGGCCCAGUAAGGCCCUGGCCAGAGAGGCUGGGAUGGGCAAAUGCCUGCAGACAUCUGACUGGCUCUUCUCAGGGGGUCCUGUGAAUUCCCUCUGCUUCCUCUUGCGCUGAGCCUGGUGGCCCCCACUCAUCCCUGUCC
rnacentral:lncRNA from 1 species